rnacentral:rRNA from 1 species
GAUGAACGCUGGCGGCGUGCCUAAUACAUGCAAGUCGAGCGGACGGACGCGGCGCUUGCUUUUCUGAUGUUAGCGGCGGACGGGUGAGUAACACGUGGAUACCCUACCUAUCAGACUGGGAUCACUUCGGGAAACCGGAGCUAACCCCGGAUAAUCUUUUGCACCGCAUGGUUCAAAAGUGAAAGACGGUCUUGCUGUCACUUCUCGAUGGUUCCGCGCUGCAUUGGCUAGUUGGUAAGGUAACGGCGUACCAAGGCGACGAUGCAUAGCCGACCUGUGAGGCGGAUAGGCGACCCGAGAAGGUGGACACGGUCAAUACGACUACGGGAGGGAGCAGAAGGGUAUCUGACGCAAUGGGCGAGAGCAUGACGGAGCAAGGCCGCGUGAGAGAUGGAGGUCUUCGGAGCGUGAUACUCGGUUAUUAGGUGAGAACAGAUGUGUAAGGAACUGUGCACAGCUUGACGGUACCUAAUCAGAAAGCCACGGCUAACUACGUG